rnacentral:rRNA from 1 species
UACAGAGGUGGCAAGCGUUGUUCGGAAUUACUGGGCGUAAAGAGCUCGUAGGCGGUUUGUCACGUCUGCUGUGAAAUCCCGAGGCUCAACCUCGGGCCUGCAGUGGGUACGGGCAGACUGGAGUGCGGUAGGGGAGAAUGGAAUUCCUGGUGUAGCGGUGGAAUGCGCAGAUAUCAGGAGGAACACCGAUGGCGAAGGCAGUUCUCUGGGCCGUAACUGACGCUGAGGAGCGAAAGCGUGGGGAGCGAACAGG